rnacentral:rRNA from 1 species
UACGUAGGGGGCAAGCGUUGUCCGGAUUUAUUGGGCGUAAAGGGAGCGUAGGCGGGUGUUUAAGUUAGGUGUUUAAUCCCGGGGCCCAACCCCGGACAGGCACCUAAAACUGGACAUCUUGAAUAGUGGAGAGGACGACGGAAUUGGGGGUGUAGCGGUGGAAUGCGUAGAGAUCCCCAAGAACACCAGUUGCGAAGGCGGUCGUCUGGACACAUAUUGACGCUGAGGCUCGAAAGCAUGGGGAGCAAACAGG